rnacentral:snRNA from 1 species
UCUGUUCUUAUCAGUUUAAUAUCUGAUACGUCCCCCAUCGGGGGACUACAUAUUAAAUGGAUUUUUCGAACAGGGAGUCGGAAAUGGGGCUUGCUCCGUCCGCUCCACGCAUCGACCCGGUAUUGCAGUACCUCCGGGAACGGUGCAACACUU